rnacentral:tRNA from 1 species
GCCGUCGUAGCGCAAUGGUAGCGCGUCGCUUUCCUAGCUAUAGUUAGUCAUAGGCGAAGGUUGCGAGUUCGAUCCUCGUCGUCGGUA